rnacentral:rRNA from 1 species
UACGGAAGGCAGCAGUGGGGAAUAUUGCACAAUGGGCGCAAGCCUGAUGCAGCCAUGCCGCGUGUAUGAAGAAGGCCUUCGGGUUGUAAAGUACUUUCAGUCGUGAGGAAGGUGUUAAGGUUAAUAACCUUAGCAAUUGACGUUAGCGACAGAAGAAGCACCGGCUAACUCCGUGCCAGCAGCCGCGGUAAUACGGAGGGUGCGAGCGUUAAUCGGAAUUACUGGGCGUAAGGGCACGCAGGCGGUUAAUUAAGUUGGAUGUGAAUCCCCGGGCUUAACCUGGGAAUGGCAUUCAAGACUGGUUAGCUAGAGUCUUGUAGAGGGGGUAGAAUUCCAUGUGUAGCGGUGAAAUGCGUAGAGAUGUGGAGGAAUACCGGUGGCGAAGGCGGCCCCUGGGACAAAGACUGACGCUCAUGUGCGAAAGCGUGGGGAGCAAACAGGGAUUAGAUACC